UCCGGGGUCGUCUAAUCGGUAGGACUCCAGACUUUGAAUCUGGCUAUCGUGGUUCGAGUCCACGCCCCGGAGCCA
rnacentral:tRNA from 1 species